GCGAAAGCCGAAGUGGUACGAAAAUCUGCUUCUCAUCGAGAGUACGGGUUCGAGUCCCGUCGUCCGCACCA
rnacentral:tRNA from 1 species